AAUUCAAAAUUAUAUUUUACUCAUAUAAUAACGAGGAUAUGGCUCGUAAGUUUCUACCGAUUUCCCGUAAAGAAAUCGACUAUGAGAAGAAGUAGCAAAAUG
rnacentral:ncRNA from 2 species